CUGAACUCCAGGAUGUUGCACCUAUCACAUGCCCAAAGAAGUUAAUACUGAAGACAAUAUGGAGCCAUACAGUAGUCCACCUUCCCUCACCUUAACAACAACAUCACUCUUAUCACCUCUCAAUCUUGCUCGGUGUACCUGGGCAAUUGAAGCCGAACCAAUAGGAUCCACAUCAAAUCUUUCAAAUAUUUCAGUAAUACUUCGACCAAACUCCUUCUCCAGCACAAGUUGUACGUCGGUAAAUGGGGUUGCAGGAGAUCGAUCACAUAGGGUCACAAGCCUUCUCACCCAUGCCGCCGGGGCCAAGUCAGGCUUCCCCACAAUUUGAGCAA